rnacentral:SRP_RNA from 1 species
CAGGAGGAAUUUGGGUCAGCUUGUCGCCAAUCUGGUCAGGUUCGGAAGGAAGCAGCCACAACGAUUUAACUGGGGUCAAAUUUCCUCCGCAUA